GAUGAACGCUGGCGGCGUGCCUAAUACAUGCAAGUCGAGCGAACGGACGAGAAGCUUGCUUCUCUGAUGUUAGCGGCGGACGGGUGAGUAACACGUGGAUAACCUACCUAUAAGACUGGGAUAACUUCGGGAAACCGGAGCUAAUACCGGAUAAUAUUUUGAACCGCAUGGUUCAAAAGUGAAAGACGGUCUUGCUGUCACUUAUAGAUGGAUCCGCGCUGCAUUAGCUAGUUGGUAAGGUAACGGCUUACCAAGGCAACGAUGCAUAGCCGACCUGAGAGGGUGAUCGGCCACACUGGAACUGAGACACGGUCCAGACUCCUACGGGAGGCAGCAGUAGGGAAUCUUCCUCAAUGGGCGAAAGCCUGACGGAGCAACGCCGCGUGAGUGAUGAAGGUCUUCGGAUCGUAAAACUCUGUUAUUAGGGAAGAACAUAUGUGUAAGUAACUGUGCACAUCUUGACGGUACCUAAUCAGAAAGCCACGGCUAACUACGUG
rnacentral:rRNA from 1 species